rnacentral:rRNA from 1 species
AGUGAACGCUGGCGGUAGGCCUAACACAUGCAAGUCGAACGGCAGCACAGUAAGAGCUUGCUCUUACGGGUGGCGAGUGGCGGACGGGUGAGGAAUACAUCGGAAUCUACUUUUUCGUGGGGGAUAACGUAGGGAAACUUACGCUAAUACCGCAUACGACCUACGGGUGAAAGCAGGGGAUCUUCGGACCUUGCGCGAUUGAAUGAGCCGAUGUCGGAUUAGCUAGUUGGCGGGGUAAAGGCCCACCAAGGCGACGAUCCGUAGCUGGUCUGAGAGGAUGAGCAGCCACACUGGAACUGAAACACGGUCCAGACUCCUACGGGAGGCAGCAGUGGGGAAUAUUGGACAAUGGGCGCAAGCCUGAUCCAGCCAUACCGCGUGGGUGAAAAAGGCCUUCGGAUUGUAAAGCUCUUUUGUUGGGAAAGAAAAGCAGCAGGUUAAUACCCCGCUGUUCUGACGGUACCCAAAGAAUAAGCACCGGCUAACUUCGUG